CCUACGGGAGGCAGCAGUGAGGAAUAUUGGUCAAUGGACGGAAGCCUGAACCAGCCAAGUAGCGUGCGGGAUGAAGGCCCUACGGGUCGUAAACCGCUUUUGCACGGGGAUAACACCCUCCACUUGUGGAGGUCUGCAGGUACCGUGCGAAUAAGGGCCGGCUAAUUCCGUGCCAGCAGCCGCGGUAAUACGGAAGGCCCGAGCGUUAUCCGGAUUCAUUGGGCUUAAAGGGAGCGUAGGCGGGCGUUCAAGUCAGCUGUAAAAUCGCGCGGCUCAACCGCGCCCCGCAGUUGAAACUGGACGCUUGGAGUUCACAAGGGGGAGGGGGAAUUGGUGGUGUAGCGGGGAAAGGAAUAGAUAUCACGAGGAACCCGGAUGGCGAGGGAAGCCUGCGGGGGUGCGACUGACGCUGAGGCUGGAAGGUGCGGG
rnacentral:rRNA from 1 species